UACAGAGGUGGCAAGCGUUGUUCGGAAUUACUGGGCGUAAAGGGCUCGUAGGCGGCCAACUAAGUCAGACGUGAAAUCCCUCGGCUUAACCGGGGAACUGCAUCUGAUACUGGAUGGCUUGAGAUUGGGAGAGGGAUGCGGAAUUCCAGGUGUAGCGGUGAAAUGCGUAGAUAUCUGGAGGAACACCGGUGGCGAAGGCGGCAUCCUGGACCAACACUGACGCUGAGGAGCGAAAGCCAGGGGAGCAAACGGG
rnacentral:rRNA from 1 species